GAGAAGGACUUGUGUCCAUGUGCCCUCAUGGUUGUUACAUCUGAGAAGAGGAAACUGAGGGGAAGCGGAAGCCGUUACCAUCAUUCAUCCUCACUUCUACAAUGCAUCCUGGGUGGUCACAUCACAUUACCUUACCAUCAUUUCACCUGAAGCAAUGCCAACUUCAAGCGCAUUCAGCUAGAAACCACACAGGCACCAAAGUUGUGCAAAGAAAAAAAAAACAAGCUUCGAGACCAUCAGACAGAUGCCUCUCCGGAACUUCAGAGCCGUGGAGUGGAAGUGAUGAAAGCCACAAGCCGGGUCCCACUGCAAGACCCCAGCUCCUCGUCUGCCAGCGCAAACUCCCUCAUUUAGAAGCACAUCCUGGAACUGGGGCUGCUUUUUAAUUAAAGCCUUGGUGGAUUGGGCGAGACUCAGUAGAGGUUGCAAAGGAAACUUUAAAGUUGCACUUGACAGGUAUAUUUAAGUUCACCAAGUUUGACCAGAUGGAACAUGUAUAUUGUAUAAGUCUUUGAAUAUGAUGGUGGAUGGGAGGAAAGAAAUAUAUCAAACAAGCAAAAAAAAAAAAAAAAAA